GCUUAACCGCAAGGGGNGGCGUCGACCACGGUGUGGCCGAUGACUGGGGUG
rnacentral:rRNA from 1 species